ACGAACGCUGGCGGCGUGCUUAAAACAUGCAAGUCGAACGAGGAGCCGACUUCGGUCGGAUUUCCUAGUGGCGGACGGGUGAGUAACACGUGGGUGACCUGCCCGAAAGUGGGGGAUAACCUCCCGAAAGGGAAGCUAAUACCGCAUGUGGUCACCGAUUCAUUUCGGUGAGUAAAGCCGCAAGGCGCUUUCGGAGGGGCUCGCGGCCGAUUAGCUUGUUGGUGGGGUAAUGGCCUACCAAGGCGACGAUCGGUAGCUGGUCUGAGAGGACGACCAGCCACAUGGGGACUGAGACACGGCCCCAACUCCUACGGGAGGCAGCAGUUGGGAAUAUUGCGCAAUGGGCGAAAGCCUGACGCAGCGACGCCGCGUGGGGGACGAAGGCUUUUGGGUCGUAAACCCCUUUUGCCGGGGAAGAAGUUCUGACGGUACCCGGCGAAUAAGCCACGGCUAACUACGUGCCAGCAGCCGCGGUAAUACGUAGGUGGCAAGCGUUGUCCGGAUUUACUGGGCGUAAAGCGCGUGUAGGCGGCUCGUUUAGUCUGUCGUGAAAUCUCUCGGCUCAACCGGGAUAGGUCGACGGAUACUGGCGGGCUUGAGGGGAGCAGAGGAAGGUGGAAUUCCCGGUGUAGUGGUGAAAUGCGUAGAUAUCGGGAGGAACACCAGUGGCGAAGGCGGCCUUCUGGGCUCUACCUGACGCUGAGACGCGAAAGCGUGGGGAGCGAACCGGAUUAGAUACCCGGGUAGUCCACGCCGUAAACGAUGGAUACUAGGUGUGGGGGGUAUCGACCCCCUCCGUGCCGAAGCUAACGCUCUAAGUAUCCCGCCUGGGGAGUACGGCCGCAAGGCUAAAACUCAAAGGAAUUGACGGGGGCCCGCACAAGCAGCGGAGCGUGUGGUUUAAUUCGAUGCAACGCGAAGAACCUUACCUGGGUUUGACAUGUUGGAAGUAGCGCCUGGAAACAGGUGGCGACCCGUAAAAUCGGGAACCAGCACAGGUGCUGCAUGGCUGUCGUCAGCUCGUGCCGUGAGGUGUUGGGUUAAGUCCCGCAACGAGCGCAACCCCUGUCGCUAGUUAAAGCUGUCUAGCGAGACUGCCCCGUACAACGGGGAGGAAGGCGGGGAUGACGUCAAGUCAGCAUGGCCCUUAUGUCCAGGGCGACACACACGCUACAAUGGCCGGUACAGAGGGCUGCAAGGCCGCGAGGCGGAGCUAAUCCCAAAAAACCGGUCUCAGUUCAGAUUGCAGGCUGAAACUCGCCUGCAUGAAGGCGGAGUUGCUAGUAACCGCAGGUCAGCACACUGCGGUGAAUACGUUCCCGGGCCUUGUACACACCGCCCGUCACGUCAUGGGAGCCGGCAACACCUGAAGCCGCUGAGCUAACCCGCAAGGGAGGCAGGCGUCCAAGGUGGGGCUGGUGACUGGGACG
rnacentral:rRNA from 1 species